rnacentral:rRNA from 1 species
AUUGAACGCUGGCGGCAGGCCUAACACAUGCAAGUCGAACGGUAACAGGAAACAGCUUGCUGUUUCGCUGACGAGUGGCGGACGGGUGAGUAAUGUCUGGGAAACUGCCUGAUGGAGGGGGAGAACUACUGGAAACGGUAGCUAAUACCGCAUAACGUCGCAAGACCAAAGAGGGGGACCUUCGGGCCUCUUGCCAUCGGAUGUGCCCAGAUGGGAUUAGCUAGUAGGUGGGGUAACGGCUCACCUAGGCGACGAUCCCUAGCUGGUCUGAGAGGAUGACCAGCCACACUGGAACUGAGACACGGUCCAGACUCCUACGGGAGGCAGCAGUGGGGAAUAUUGCACAAUGGGCGCAAGCCUGAUGCAGCCAUGCCGCGUGUAUGAAGAAGGCCUUCGGGUUGUAAAGUACUUUCAGCGGGGAGGAAGGGAGUAAAGUUAAUACCUUUACUCAUUGACGUUACCCGCAGAAGAAGCACCGGCUAACUCCGUG